AACGAAGAGUUGUUUGAAAGAUAAAACAAUGGAGAGUUUGAUCCUGGCUCAGGAUGAACGC
rnacentral:rRNA from 1 species